CCGCCUCGCACCACCCCCUGGCGCAAAGCCCGGCCCGGCGCCCCAACGACGCGGAGGGGGAAAAGGUAGGGGGGCAACCACGCUCGAAUCCGCUCUUGUCCCAGCCCACAAUAUCGAAUGCUCCCUUACGACAACCCCAUCCCCCCGUGCCAGAGGGAAAGGGUUAAGCAUUCCCGCCGGCGGGGACCGUCCCACCGGCCCACACUUCAAGGCAAUGACCGGGGGCCCCCACAAGCGGGGGAGGCAUGUGGUUCAAUUCGACGCAACGGGAAGACCCUUACCUGGGCUGGAAGCCCAGUGGAAUGAGGUGGAAACAUUUCAGCCCGCAAGGCCCGCUGCGGAGGUGCUGCAUGGCUGUCGUCAGCUCGUGUCGUGAGAAUGUUGGGUUAAGUCCCGCAACGAGGGCAACCCUUAUGGUCAGUUGCCACCGGGUCAAGCCGGGCACUCUGGCGAAACCGCCUCGGAUAACGGGGAGGAAGGUGGGGAUGACGUCAAGUCCUCAUGGCCUUUAUGUCCAGGGCUACACACGUGCUACAAUGGUCGGUACAAACCGUCGCAAACCCGCGAGGGGGAGCUAAUCGGAAAAAGCCGGCCUCAGUUCGGAUUGGAGUCUGCAACUCGACUCCAUGAAGCUGGAAUCGCUAGUAAUCGCAGAUCAGAACGCUGCGGUGAAUACGUUCCCGGGCCUUGUACACACCGCCCGUCACAUCACGAAAGUGGACCAUACUAGAAGCCGGUGGGCUAACCGCAAGGAAGCAGCCGUCCAAGGUAUAGUUCAUGAUUGGGGUGAAGUCGUAACAAGGUAA
rnacentral:rRNA from 2 species